rnacentral:tRNA from 1 species
CAUUAAGAAGCUAUGAAUCAGCACUAGCCUUUUAAGCUAGAGAAAGAGGAAAAAUUUUCUCCUCCUUAAUGA